GGGCGAUUGGUCACUCUAACGAACGACACGAUUUAAUAAAUUCUUUUUGGUUCGACUAGUCCCUCUUUAGGCGAUCCUUUUACACCUGUCGAAAGUAUAACUCGUGGAUAAGCUGAGUGAUUAAACGUCAAGAGUAAUCUUGAAGGUCAGAAAGAAGAUGAAGAACUGGUUAUUCGUUAUUAAUUUUCGGAAAAUUUGUCUACACCAAUAUGAAUGCAGUUUAUAAACAGGUUAAGGUCAGACUAUUACAGGAUAUUGAAAAACAAUUAAUUAAUUUUAUAUCGUCAUCGUGUGGCAUAAUUGCUCUCAUUAAUUAACGCCGUUAAAAAAUCACUCUAAUUAACCAACUUAUUUUUUUAUUAUUAAUAAAGUAUUCAGGUUUAUUUUCAGAUGAAUUUUUUAGUAUAUUUCAGUAAAAAUUUGUUUAAAUGUUCAAUGUAUCCUUAAUAACGUAUCUCUACCAUUCAUUAAAAAAUAAUUAAUGAAUUAACGGAAAAGAAUUAGCAAUUUUUCAGCCCUUCACAGCGAUGUUCGCCCUAAAAAAAGCAUUCCACGAUACAGAGACACGUCUAAUGCGGUUAAGGAAUUAUCAGUGUGCUAUCGCGAACCGAUGGAAUUCAACCGUGGAUCCGAUCGGAUAAUCUCAAGUACAACAAGAUCAUACAGUUACGUAAUGCGUUACACGGACUGGUAAUCGAGAAUCCCGUACAAUUAAUACUAAUAAUGUCACUGGAAACGAUAAUAUGCUACUAUUUCACAAAGCUCCUUGGCGUUAUCGGCACCGCUUGAUUCAAAGAAUUUUUCGUUGAAAGAUUGUCGACUAUUAAGGGGGAAAAUAAUACGAAGUGGUCGAUAAAACAGUAUCACGAAAGUUUCCCAACGUUGGCAGAUAAUUUUAAAAAUUAUCUCACGUAAGAAGAUAACGAAAUUGUAUUUCAAACACUAAGUAUUCAUAAAAUUAAAUAGUGCAUCAUCUGAAAUAGCACUUUAAAUCUUAUUUGAAAAAUGUCUAUGUCUGAUGCAUAUACCAACAACCACGUGGUUUCUUUUAUCUGAGUAAUUCUAACACGAAAUGACCGUGAAAUAAAAGUGGAAUUGGCAGAAACAGCUUGGUUGAGAAUUUUCCAGGGAGAUUAGAUACCGGAUAUCAGAGACGGAAAAUUGCAAUGAAUGAAUCAUCUUUACUGCAAGAAAAAAAUGUAUACUUCUUUGAAGAAAUAAUCAAGGAAAUUAGGAAUAUUAUUCAGUUAUCGCGAUAGAAAAUUGCCAGCAAUUACGGGAUAUUCUGGAUCGUAUCAAAUGCUACAAAAUAAGUAGGAUUAUACAUAUAUCUUUUCGUCCAAAGAAACGGAACUAUGAGAUCAUGAUUAAAAUAAAAAUAACACUAGGUAAUUGCUGAAUUCCAAUGUAAUGACUCAAUUCUUCCUCUUCCAGUGAACCGUCCUUUUGCUAACUGUUCUACACCGAUAUCCCCUUUGUGCUUUGUACUAUUUACGUAUACCUGGAACAGCGGUUCGCAAGUACACGACCUUUGCCAGAAACACGUUGCCCGAAUUAAGGAGUCUUUCUGGCGUGACGAGAAGUAUUAAGCAUACUUUCGGAAUUUUUUUGUCAAAAUUCAUAAAAUAAAAUAGGAUUCCAAUGUUCGUUCUACCGAUGAUAUUAUUCAAAAAGAAUACAAAAAUAUUUUUGUACAAACUUUAUAAAACUUGUACAAGCUUCAAACUCGUUUUUCUCGAAACAUCAUUUUUCUCAGCUGGUUAUCAAGAUAAAAAAAAAAAAAAAAUAACUCUCGAAUCGAUUUUUCUGAAAUUUAAAUACGUUCUUGUGAACUUCAGUAGCGAACAUGUGACACACGGCUAUUUUUAAAAAUGCAAAAUUUCAUGCUUCUUUAAACAUAAAAUGAAACGAGCAUCUUUUUCUUUAUUUUUUCGCGUAUACGAGACCUAAGUCUCAAUCUGAUGGUCAUUUAAUUUACCUACAAUAAUAUACACAAUGUUCAGUAAUCAAUGAAUUCUGCUUAUUGUUAUUCUACCAACAAAUUACAAGUAUACUUGACAGUUACCGGUCGUAAAAAUUAAUUCUGUGCCUUCAGAUCUAUAUGAUUAUUUCAACUCUAGUUUAUACAGAAAC